AAGUUAAAUGAACAAGUGAACAAUUAUCAAAUAAUUACGUUAAUAAACAAAUAUAUUUAAAUAAAUAAAAAAGAGAGAAAGAGGGCAGAUACAGAGAAUCAAAUUUUUUUCCACACAACAUUAAAUGAUGCAUAAAUAGAUUGCAGUAGAAGCCAUCUUUCUUUGACAUAAUAUUUGAAGGAUACGCCACUUGACAUCUAUUAUGUAUAGGUUCAAUUCAUUUUCUUUAACUCACCCACAUCACAAUCACACAAUCAUUUUUCACUCUACCCGAUUAAAACCGUUCAUUCCCCCUCACUCCAUAAAUCUCUCCCACAUCUAAACCAAAUCACAUUCCCUCUAUAAUAUUCCUUUCACAGUCAGUUUUCUACUAUUCCGUUCUCUGCAUCAAGAAAACAAGACUUAUUCUUCUCAACUUCAAUUCAAGUGAGGAGAAACUGACAAUUGAAAUAGAAGUGAGGAGAAACUGACAAUUGAAAUAGAAGCCGAGAAAUUCAUCGAGUUGCUUCCUUUUUUCACAAAUCUGCCAAUUGAAGGUAUACACUUUCCCCACCCAAAUCCAAUUCUAUACUUGUGCAUCUCAUGAAAUCAGUAACCGAAGCAAAUCAAUAAUUCGGACAAACUAAAUCAAAUAAUCGAAAUUCAAUUCAUGAAAUCAAAUUAAGAACUUAUCUUCGGGGCUGUUCGGGUUAGUUUCGGGACGUUUCGGGGCUGUUCGGAGUUGCUCGGAACUGCGCGGUGUCGGUUCGGGGUGGACUCGGAGUCAAUCGGAAGCUGACCGGCAGGCUGGGACAGCAGCGGCUACAGCAGCGCCUCCCGGCAGCUGCAUCGCGUCUCCCGGCAGCGACAGCAGCAUCUCCCGGCGGCGACGGAGCAGCGACAGCAGGCGCCUGACUCAGCGCUGCUGCUCGGCUUCGGUGACUCCACGGCGGCGAAUCUGGAGCGAUGCGGCGGCAGCGGAGGAGCCCGACGGCAGCAGCGGCGUCGGGCGACGGAGGGGCGAAUCGGCGCUACCGCCGAUGGUUCAGCGGCGUGCGACUGAAGGAUCGGACGACACCUACGUCGCCGGAGUACAGUGAGCGUCGGAGGGGAGACGGCCGACGACUCUGGUGUGGUGAGGUUGGCGGAAGGCGACGGGAUUUGGGGUGAUGAGAGAGAGAUUGAAAUGGUGAAUGAAUGAUAUGUGUUGACCGAGAUGGAGGAAGUAGAGGGAAUCUCUUUUGCUUUGGGCCAUCCUUUUUAUUUUGUUUGGGCUCAAUCUUUUAUUUGUGUUGGGCUCAAGUUUUAAUUGGAGAAAUAAGGUGGGCUAGGAUAACAAUUGUCUUGGGUAAAAUUUAUUAAUCCUUGGACCGAUAAUUUAAUUGUUGAGAAUUAUUUAAUUAUUUUCGAAAUAAUUUUGAAGUA